UAAACCUAGAGGUUUCUACAGGGGUGGGAGGUGAGGAGGUAAACCUAGAGGUUUCUGCAGGGGUGGAAGGUGAGGAGGUAAACCUAGAGGUUUCUACAGGGGUGGGAGGUAAACCUAGAGGUUUCUACAGGGGUGGGAGGUAAACCUAGAGGUUUCUACAGGGGUGGAAGGUGAGGAGGUAAACCUAGAGGUUUCUGCAGGGGUGGAAGGUGAGGAGGUAAACCUAGAGGUUUCUACAGGGGUGGGAGGUGAGGAGGUAAACCUAGAGGUUUCUACAGGGGUGGAAGGUGAGGAGGUAAACCUAGAGGUUUCUGCAGGGGUGGAAGGUGAGGAGGUAAACCUAGAGGUUUCUACAGGGGUGGGAGGGGAUAAUAAACCUAGAGGUUUCUGCAGGGGUGGAAGGGGAGGUAAAGAAUAGUGUACACUACUGAUUCAUGUUUUAGUUUGAUUCUUAUUACUGUAAAGAAUAGUGUACACUACUGAUUCAUGUUUUAGUUUGAUUCUUAUUACUGUAAAGAAUAGUGUACACUACUGAUUCAUGUUUUAGUUUGAUUCUUAUUACUGUAAAGAUGAAAUGGGAUUUUUCUCACUCUUGCAUUUCUUCUGUAGAGCUUAAAAACAUUUCCUUUCUGUUUUUGCUAUUUUUUCUAUGACGAUCAGAUUGAGUGAUUGAUUAACCUCCCAACCCAAAGAUCCCGCCAAUUCACAUCGUGUCAGUGAUUUGAUUGGCUCCUCUCUCAAAGCUGCACGUUGUUGACGUCCCCUUCAGCCAGUCAGCAGGAAGGGGGGUUACCCCCUGUAACAGACAUCUCCUCCUCCUCUAGAUGACUCUGUAGUGAAGGAAGGGGGGGUUACCCCCUGUAACAGACAUCUCCUCCUCCUCUAGAUGACUCUGUAGUGAAGGAAGGGGUGGUUCCCCCCUGUAACAGACAUCUCCUCCUCCUCUAGAUGACUCUGUAGUGAAGGAAGGGGGGUUCCCCCUGUAACAGACAUCUCCUCCUCCUCUAGAUGACUCUGUAGUGAAGGAAGGGGAGGUUCCCCCUGUAACAGACAUCUCCUCCUAACAGACAUCUCCUCCUCCUCUAGAUGACUCUGUAGUGAAGGAAGGGGGGGUUCCCCCUGUAACAGACAUCUCCUCCUCCUCUAGAUGACUCUGUAGUGAAGGAAGGGGGGGUUCCCCCCUGUAACAGACAUCUCCUCCUCUAGAUGACUCUGUAGUGAAGGAAAGGGGGUUCCCCCCUGUAACAGACAUCUCCUCCUCUAGAUGACUCUGUAGUGAAGGAAGGGGGGUUCCCCCCUGUAACAGACAUCUCCUCCUCCUCUAGAUGACUCUGUAGUGAUGGAAGGGGGGUUCCCCCCUGUAACAGACAUCUCCUCCUCCUCUAGAUGACUCUGUAGUGAAGGAAGGGGGGGUUACCCCCUGUAACAGACAUCUCCUCCUCUAGAUGACUCUGUAGUGAAGGAAGGGGGGGUGGUUGUUGUUUCGGCCACACAGCCAACAGAUAGUUCAAUAUUCAAUACUGUUCAAUCGUUGACCCCUGGCAUUUCUAUGAAUUCUAAAAGAACCUUAUCCGAUAGAUUUUAAUCGUCUUAUGAUCACUAUCAAGGGUUUAUUAAAUGAAGUUGAUGCUGCUGCUAUUUAUGACUUUCUUUUGCCUUAUCAUUUCACAGAGAGAGAGAGGGCCUUUCAGAGACUGUCAGAGAGUCUACACCAUAGAGAGAUACAUUCAAAGAUGUUCCAUUGAAUUCUAUGGGAAACACACAGUAAAGUAAUGACAUGCAUUCCCAACAUGUCAAUAGUGUUUCAGGGGAUUAGUUAAAGCAAGGCGAGGCACAGAAUCAAUCAUCUUGAUCAAAUAAUAGUUGAAUAUAACUUGAAUACGUAGUUAUUUGAUAUGUAAGGAGAUGUAUAAAUCAGUAAUGCUGUGAAGUCUGACUGCAAAUGUAGCUGAUCUCAAAGACCGUGAAGUCUGCACAUAGUAAACAAAUUCCAAAGACCGUAAACACAGUCUGCACAUAGUAAACUAAUUCCCUAAGACCGUAAACACAGUCUGCACAUAGUAAACAAAUUCCCUAAGAUCGUAAACACAGUCUGCACAUAGUAAACGAAUUCCCAUAUUCUACUACUCUUCAGCGCUCGGUUCUCCUAGCUUAGCACCAAUGGUUCCAUGUUCUGUUAGAACCCUCUGAACUGAUAGCUUAGCACUAAUGGUUCCAUGUUCUGUUAGAACCCUCUGAAUUGUCACAGAACCAUAAAACGUAGAUAUGGAAUGAUCUUAGGUCGUCUGUGACUUGAUGUUCCAUGGCCGGCUUGCUGUCCUAUCUGGGCAACGGGUGGGGCAGUCAUGACACGGUUGGGACUUGAUUGACCUUUCUGUUCUAUGAUCUUUUAAAAGCACGUAGGCAUUACUACCAUCGCUUCUCAAAUGGCACCCUGGCCAUAGUGCACAUUUGGGAUGCGGUCUACAUUUCUUUCAAAUGAAGGUUUGAAGGGGGUAACUACAUGAAGAACAUAUUAAUACAUAUAUUAUAUAUUAUGUAUAUAUUUUACUAAGACUGACCACAAAUAAACGGUCCUUCACUGAGACGGAGAGGGCUGAAAACAGAAUGGGUUCUAUAAUAGAACUCUAAUGGUUCUGAACCAUAGGGUGGGUUCUAUAAUAGAACUCUAAUGGUUCUGAAUCAUAGGGUGGGUUCUAUAAUAGAACGCUAAUGGUUCUGAACCAUAGGGUGGGUUCUGUAAGAGAACUCUAGUGGUUCUAGGGUUCUUCUGACUCUGUGCUCCUGUCUGGCUUCAUAGUAACUGCUUGUCAAAGCUUCUGUCAAGUCGUUUCCCAAAUGUUCCAUCUGUAUAGCAUGUCAAUAAAACACAUUUUGUCUGGA
ensembl:lncRNA